AUUGAACGCUGGCGGCAGGCCUAACACAUGCAAGUCGAGCGGAUGAAGGGAGCUUGCUCCUGGAUUCAGCGGCGGACGGGUGCGUAAUGCCUAGGAAUCUGCCUGGUAGUGGGGGAUAACGUCCGGAAACGGGCGCUAAUACCGCAUACGUCCUGAGGGAGAAAGUGGGGGAUCUUCGGACCUCACGCUAUCAGAUGAGCCUAGGUCGGAUUAGCUAGUUGGGGGGGUAAAGGCCUACCAAGGCGACGAUCCGUAACUGGUCUGAGAGGAUGAUCCGUAACACUGGAACGGGGACCCGGUCCAGACUCCUCCGGGAGGCAGAAGUGGGGAAUAUUGGACAAUGGGCGAAAGCCUGCUCCAGCCAUGCCGCUGGUGUGAAGAAGGUCUUCGGAUUGUAAAGCACGUUAAGUUGGGAGGAAGGGCAGUAAGUUAAUACCUUGCUGUUUUGACGUUACCAACAGAAUAAGCACCGGCUAACUUCGUG
rnacentral:rRNA from 1 species